UUUCUCUCACAACCCUCUCCCUCUCGUCUCCUCUCCUCUCCCUCACAACCCUCUCCUCACUAUUUUUUCACUCUAUACCUAAUUUUGAAAGCUUAAGACUAUACCGAUGACCGACAAAGUAGCGGAAUCAGAAACCCUUGACCCCAAUCUUAAAGAAACCAAAGUUUAUGUAGAAGUAACCAUCGAAUCGAAUGCUUUAGGAGGAACAGAGUCAUCUUGCAACAACAACAAGAUUGAGCAGCAGUAUAUACUAUUUUAAGGUUGCAUUUUUACUUUUGGGUCUCAAUGAUUUGAUCUAUCAAGAAUUGUGGAUAAUCUUUAAUUCAUUAGUUUAUUAUGUUUUAUGGGUUUUCUUUAAUUAGAGUAGUUAUUUGAAUAAUAGGGAUCAAAUAAUGUUGUAGGUGUUAAAUUGUCAAUACCAUGCCAUGUUGUUUCCAAUUGAUAAUAUAUAAACGUCACUAAUUAUUUUAUUUUGUUUGUUUGUACAUUGUUUUGAUAGAUGUGGUAGUGGAUUGAUUUUCUUCAUUAAUUUUAUUGAUUUGUUUAUUGAGCUUAUUUAAUUGUUUCUGAAUUUGGUAUUGUCAGUCUCAAUUAUCUUGUUAAUUAUGUUCAUAAGCUGUUUUUACUUGUACUUUGAGCUUAUUUAAUUGUUUCUGAAUUUGGUAUUGUCAUAAGCUGUUUUUAUUGAUUUGCAUGGAUUACAUGAAUUUAUGAAUGUCUAUUAGUUUUGAUUGGGUGUUUAAUCAAUUAGUUACGGCAAGAAACUGUCAUUUUCUUAAUACGAAAAACGUCAACAAAAUUAAGGGGUUGCUUCUUUUUUUUUUUUCGUUCGAAAAUCUAAAUUAAGUAAUAUUUCCUUCUAAAUGGAAGAGACUUUGGUUAAGAAUUAAAUAUGUCCUUAAUUAUAUGUCUCACAUGAUCUCUGGCCUGGUGAUGAGCUGAACUAAUGGAUAUGUCAUUGUUGGCACCAGCCAGAAAAAGGGGUAGAACAAGUCAUAACACACUCUUUUCAUUGCCAUAAAUGAUGUUAUAUGUAGAGUUACAUGCAUAGAUAUGAUUCAGAAUAAUUGAUGUUAAAUGACAUAUAGCCCAAGUACUUUAACUCACCUAUUUACAGUUUCACACCUAUCUUCAUUAUCUUGGGAUGUGAUUUUCUUUAAUAUUAUAUGAUAAGAAUAUUGAUAAUUUUUUGAUCCAAAGUCAAAUCCUUCUUGACGUUUCCACCUUAUGUCAGACCAAACUUGACCUGUUACCUCAACAUAUUUUCUUUGAUCUUGUCCUCGUCCUCUCAAUUAUUCAGACACAAAAAUGCUCCUCCUUACAUCUCCAGUUUUGUUUUAAGAUAAUCGAAGUCUCUUAGUGGCCAUCUACUGUUUUCUCUCGAGUUAGAUUAUUCCCAUUUUUGCUCAAUAAUUUAUUUCUUCCGUCUUUUCUUGAUUUAUAUACAAAUCCAGCAGGAUAAAAGCAAAUAGUCAGUGUUCCACGCACCAAAGCACUCCUAGCUUGUUAAACAAUAAUUAUGGUUUUAGCCUUCUAUGUUUGUUGGUACAGAACACAAUGGUCAUAUUUGACAAUGCUUGGGGUGCAUGUAUGCUUAAUACGGUGAUGUUUUUCUUAAAAUUGAUGUAUAUGUUUUUGGGGUUGUUCUCUAUGAACUUAUUUCAGCCAAGGAAGCCACAGUGAAGGCAAAUGGUACUAAUGUUGAAUCAAAAGGGCUUGUUCCAUUGGUAAGUUGUUUAUGUUCUCUUAAUCAUAUAAACAGUGAUGAUUAGAUAUGCUUAGCCUCCCAUGCACAUUGAGUAUCAUAAAAGUGACUCAAUUCAGUUGAAAAUGUCUAUUUGUCUGUUUACUUGCAGCAUCUCUGUUAAUUCUCCAGUAUUUGGUGACCCUACUUCUUUGACAUCUCAUGAACUAAUCUUUAUUAUCAUGACAUGGAUUGCCCUGGCUGCUGUUAGUUCUUAUUUGGGUUUUCAUAUAUUUUUUAACGAGAACUUGGAAGCGUUAAUUCUAGAUAUCAUCUGUUUCAUGAUUUAAAUUUUUUAGCAUUGGAACUUUGUUAAGUUGCGCUCGUAAUGUCAGAGUAUAUGUGGGUAAUGAAUGUGUUAGUUAAUGUGCUGGCAUGUGGGAUAGUGAUGUAUAUGCUUUUUUUUUUGGCAAAUUGUCUUUCUAAACUGGAGAUGUUGACAUUUUGGUUUUAUUGGUUUUUUUUUAUUGUUCGAAGUUAACUGUUUGGUGAAUUUGAGCUUAAGAUCAUUAGUUGCUUGAUUACAUUUGACUAAUACUAUUAUUGUUCCAUAUUUAUGGGCCUAAAAAGAUAGCAUAAGUUUUUUAGCAAUGGUAUAGCUAUAGUUCUUGAAAAUUCACAAUUUAUUAUUUAAACAUUUCUUUCUUUAUAUACAUUUCUUUUUUAAUUUCAUAAUUAUUUGACUGAUUUAUGUCUAUAUGUUUUUUUGAUUUGCAGAUAGAGUUUUUUCUGGAAGGUCAAUAACCACAAGGUUGAAGGUUUUAAUUAAGCAUUUUCUUAGGAUAUGAAUUUCAGAAUUUCAAUUUUUUGGAUUAUAGAAUUUGGUUUUGUGGUACUUCUAUUAUUUAAGCAACUGUUUAUUGCUUCGCUAGUUAAGUAUUUUAUUGCUUCGCUAGUUAAGUAUUUUGUUGAAUCAGUGAAUCUACUAAUUUUUUAUAAGAUAAUUACUUUUUAUUUUAAAUGUUUAUUGCGUUUUGUCUCUUAUAUUAUAUACAGGUGUAAAGUUAAUUUAAAAAGCUCACU
rnacentral:lncRNA from 1 species